AUACAUAGGGGGCAAGCGUUAUCCGGAAUUAUUGGGCGUAAAGGGUGCGUAGGCGGUCUAUUAAGUCUGAGGUGUAAGUGCAGGGCUCAACCCUGUGAUGCUUUAGAAACUGGUAGACUUGAGUGAGAUAGAGGCAAGUGGAAUUCCAUGUGUAGCGGUAAAAUGCGUAAAUAUAUGGAGGAACACCAGUGGCGAAGGCGGCUUGCUGGGUCUAUACUGACGCUGAGGCACGAAAGCGUGGGGAGCAAACAGGAUGAGAUACCCUGGUAGUCCACGCCGUAAACGAUGAGUACUAAGUGUUGCGAGAACGCAGUGCUGAAGUUAACAUAUUAAGUACUCCGCCUGAGUAGUACGUACGCAAGUAUGAAACUCAAAGGAAUUGACGGGG
rnacentral:rRNA from 1 species